CCUACGGGUGGCAGCAGUGAGGAAUAUUGGUCAAUGGACGCAAGUCUGAACCAGCCAUGCCGCGUGCAGGAAGACGGCUCUAUGAGUUGUAAACUGCUUUUGUACGAGGGUAAACGCAGAUACGCGUAUCUUUCUGAAAUUAUCGUACGAAUAAGUAUCUGCUCACUCCGUUCCAGCAGCCGCGGUAAUACGGAGGAUUCAAGCGUUAUCCGGAUUUAUUUGGUUUAAAGGGUGCGUAGGCGGUCGGAUAAGUUAGAGGUGAAAUCCCGAGGCUAAACUUCGGAAUUGCCUCUGAUACUGUUCGGCUAGAGAGUAGUUGAGGUAGGCGGAAUGUAUGGUGUAGCGGUGAAAUGCUUAGAGAUCAUACAGAACACCGAUUGCGAAGGCAGCUUACCAAGCUACUACUGACGUUGAGGCACGAAAGCGUGGGGAGCAAACAGGAUUAGAUACCCUUGUAGUG
rnacentral:rRNA from 1 species